rnacentral:lncRNA from 1 species
CAGAUUCACUGUGAUGAAAUGCAGAGGUAUUGGAUAAUCAGCGUGUAUCAAACAGCUUUGGAUUGUUUUACCUGCAUUCUGCCUGUUCCUUCCGCCUGUUUAUUUAUAACAUGUCUGCACUUCUGUGGGAUUCCAUGAAAAAAGUCAUAGUAGCAACAAAGAUUUCACUGGUCCCCCCAGUGUGCACCAAACUGCCCCUGGCUUGGAGUGCAGGAUGAACACCUUCCUGCAGUGCAGACAGCCCUGUCCUUGCAGAGUAUGGACUAGGGACAGAUUGCAGCUUUUUGGUGUAACCCUCACGAAGCUGAACUUUCCAGCAUUGAAACCAAGAGCCAAAGAAGCCCAGCAGAGGAAAGGAGGAGAAGAACACAUGAAAGGCUGUAAGGGACAGCUCUGCUCACAGGAACAGAAACAGAGACUCACAGAGGUGCUGGUUGUUUCCAUGGGGCGAAGGAAGAGGUCAAACAGCAGGGCAGUGGCAUAGCCAAGAGCCAAACCCAAGUGUGCUGACUCCCUGUCCUGCUCACUGAACUUUGCCUCCUUUAGCAGGAAAAUGGCAGCCAAAAUGCUGCAAUUGUCUGGGGUGGGAACAGGACUGGGAAAGAUUCUCAGAAAAAACAUGUUCAGCUUUUUAUGAAUCUGUCACUAUCGGGAUUUGUCACUUGCAGUGACAAAACUGCCCGUGCAGUUUUUGUCCAUUGACUUCUGCUCCUCACCCAAAUUUGUUAGUGAGUCUUGACUUCUCGUGUUCCCUCUGUUUCAACAUUUCUCUCUGCAUAGUGCCUGUAAAGUCAGAGGCUUUAUUUGGUU